UCAAUAAUCGAUUAUCUAGAGGUUCACUGUUAACGUAGUGUUGACAGAGGGAAAAAGGCGGAACUGCAGCUCCGGACCAUAUGUGCGGUGCACACAAUGGAGACAUGUGGUACUCCCUGUUCGCCACAGACAGACAGCUGUUGAAUGAGUGACUGCUGCAACUAAACUUUACACAUGAUAAAUAAAUGCGUAACUAAUGUCAAUGAUUUUAACCAGCACAUGGUGCAGCUUGGGUAGCGCUUAACUAGCAUCCUCUGCUCCUUCUUAAAAGGUAAGGUACUUUAUUUGUCAAAUAGACACACAUGUAGCGAAAUUCUUCCUCUGCAUUUAACCCAUCCCUGAAGGGAGCAGUGGGCAGACACAGCGCCCGGGGACCAACUUCAGAAUGAAUGCAGGUCAAACGGCACUGACUGGAGAACCUACUCUAACAUGUUUUUGAAGGACAGCUUCAAAGGACAGCUGCAGAGGAAAAGACGAGCGCUACUUUCUGUCUGGCAGUAAAAUUUACACAAAGUUUACAAGAUAUUUACAUAGACAAAAUUACAAUGAGUUUAAAAUAUGUAAAACAAACAAAAUUAGAAAGACUAAAUGUAGAGAUCUACCUACCAUUAAUUAAAAACAAGUGCAUAUGUCUGUCAGAAUGUCACACUGUUAGAAAUUAUCAGCAUUUCACAAUAAUUAAAAGUAUUAUUUUACAGUAACUUGUUGUAAAUGAGUUUCCCUGUAAUAUCCCGAUGAAUACCUGUAAAAACUACAGUAUCCUUGGAUUUUACAGCAUUUAACUCUUAUUUUACAGUAAAAUCUUGCAAUCUAAAACCUGCUGUUAUAUCACAACAAGGCUCCGUCGUGUCCCUCUUCUAUUCCGGGCUGAAUGGAGAAGGUGAGCAGCAUGCAUGUUUGCAGCACUUACACCCAUGUUAUUUUAAUAUGAUAAUAAUAUUUACUUUCAAAACGUUUAGCGCAUGACUCAGUUCACAUUUUGUUAGCAAGUGCCCGGAAUUGUUGAAAGUUCUCUCACAGCAUUUGCUAAUAGUAGUAAUGUUAGUAAUGAGGAGAGUUUCGCUACAGUUUUUCAUGUCACAAUCCCCGUUUAGACAAAUCUGGUGUUUGUAAAGUUUAUAAAACCAAUGAUGGGACAAACAUUACUAUUUAUGUGUGCACAUUUCUGUAAUUAGUCAAGGUUAUCAUAGAUUAGCAUUGCUUACUGUUAGCUGUUUAACUUUAAUAACUUAGUGAUUCAAACGGUGAUUCACCGUCAAAAAAAGAAAGUGAUUCAAACAACACAAAAUCAUUCUCCAGAACUUUCUCAUUCACGGUUCCAUGCUGGUGGAAUGAUCUUUCCACCCUCAUCCGGAAUGCACAAUCCAGGUCCAUGAAAAAAUAUUUUUCCAGCGGAUAUCCUAGUUACAACAUGACUGAGCUAACUGGAGUAAAUUAGUCUCAUGUCGUGUUCGACAACGGGAGGGUUUUAACACUAGAGUUCCCACUUGUCCUGAUAUGAAUGAAUAAUAAUUGUAAAAGUUGUAAAUGCACUUUCCAUUGAGUGAGCAAUCUCAAAGUGCUACAGUAAAAAAACACUAUAGAUAUACCACUAUCAUUUUUGACAUACGGCUAAAAUUAAAUUAAAAUCAAUUAUCAUAAUCUGCAUUCAAACUGAAAUUCUUAUUGUUGGUUGCCUUUGUGUAAUUUCUCCUUUUUCUUUUCUUUUCUUUCCAGGUCAUCAGAGGGCGAGGCUAACCAUCCUGUUCAGUGUCAGGCUAAGAGUGAGGAGAAAUAGAUUAGGUGUGUCAGGUGGGGCCCAGCAGAUUGGCCAGACGGGGAGACCGAGGCAACGUUGGAGAAUAUGAAGAGGGAUCUGCUGAACAUCUACUCAGGCAUGCCAUCUACUCUCUUUUUGGAGGAAGGAACGAGUGGGGCAGGGAGAGCAGAACCAAUGAUGGAAAAGACAUACGUCAUCCUGCGGAAAUACCUUAACAAAGUGCCUGCUGCAGCGAUGUCUGAGAUCAAACAGGAAUGGCCAUUUCUCUUCUCUCAGAAAUGCCUAUUCUCACUCUCUUUGGCCUCCUGACGGACGUCAAUGUCCUUCAGAAGCUACAGGAGGCAAUUAGUCGACGAGGACAGACCAUCCUGGAUUACUGUGCAACACUGGACAAGAGCCGAAAGAGAGUUUGAUGCUUGAAGUUGAUCCAUGUGCCACUGCUGUGUACGUCAAUACUGCAGAACUCCCCAGCACCCCCUGCUUGAUCAUUCAAGGUGACAUGAUGAAGCCCUCUGGAUGGCUUAUAUCCGUCGAGGGACAUGUCGUGAUGGGCCCACACCCUUUCUUUUUACACGGAGUAGCUGCUUUCUUCAGCAGCUAUUACGUCUUCAACCUUGAGUAUCCUGCCUCUGGAUCGUUGAUGCAGGAGUUCAUUCAAAGAGGCUCAAAGACCAAGAAGCGGACAACAAUGACCCCUCAUGUGAGCACCCUUUUGAGGAAACUUAUUGACUUUGAGGGGGCAUCAUAGUUUUUGUUGUUUGCAGCGGUAGUUAUCAGGCUCAGUUUUGAGUAGCCUUGUUCUUUUUGUAAUUUUUCAAGACAACUUUGCACUACAAGAUUUUUACACAAUGCUGACUCAUUAUAAUGUUUGAGACUGAGAGGAGCGCCUCACCCCUUUAAGACAUUCCUUCAUCGCUCUCUCCCUUGCUCUCUUAUCUUGCCAUGAAGGCCUCAUUCCCAUCCUGUCCAUUCCUGUUAUUGUGACAGAGCUAGUUGAAAAGUUGAAAUGUGAAACAGGUAGUUGAAUUGCAAGUUUGCACAAUUUCUCUGCAUUUUCUGCAUUUUAAGAUGGCUUUUAUGACUAGAAAGAUGAAUUUCUUGAACUCUUGAAGUUCUUGGCAUCUGCUGCACAUUGAAAAAUAUUUAUUUGUUAAUAAAUAUGCCAUUGGGCUAACAUUGAA